GAGUCGUAACAAGGUUUCCGUAGGUGGACCUGCGGAAGGAUCAUUACCGAGUCUAGGGGCCUCUUCGUGGGGCUCCGAACUCCCACCCCGUGCUUACGUACCUCUGUUGCCUCGGCAGGCCCGUUGGGGACACACGUCCCCAGCAUCCGGCUCCUUGACGCUGGACAGCGCCCGCCAGAGGACCAACCAAAACUCUGUUCUUACCUGUAGUCUGAGUAUAAAAAAAAAUUAAGUUAAAA
rnacentral:misc_RNA from 1 species